GGGGCUGACCGGUUUUGACAGGAUGUUCGGGGGUGUAUGCCAGCAUGCAAGCUCAUGAGGGUAGAGCUUUGAACACUGCUCUCAAACCAAUAAGUGGCGAGAAUACUUACGCCAUGGCUGCUUAAUCUGACCUAAGGUUAGACAAGCUUAUCUACUGAUAAGAUCGGUAGAAGCCAUCAUCGCCCACACUUCUGUUUAGCGGGUGUGGAUCAGCGGUGUCGACAGCAUAAACUGGGCCCCGUUGUUGUUGCGCAACGAUGUCGAGAUAACAGUAACUAAGGAGUCAAUCAGGCUGUUGAUAGCCUUGUGAUUCCCGACAAUCAAAAUCAACUAAGCAUGUAGAACGUACACGUUCGUCUUCUCUGGACCAGGGUUCGAUUCCCUGCAGCUCCAC
rnacentral:tmRNA from 1 species